CCAAUAGCGUAUAUUAAAGUUGUUGCAGUUAAAAAGCUCGUAGUUGAAUUUCGGGAUUCAUCCGUUGGUCGGGCUUCACGGUCCGUACUGGUGUGAUGGGUUCCUACCUUCUGAAUAACCGGCAUGCCAUUAAUUUGGUGCGCCGGGGAAGCAGAACUAUUACCUUUGAAAAAAUUAGAGUGCUUAAAGCAGGCAAGUGCCUGAAUAGGUUAGCAUGGAAUAAUAAAAUAGGACGGCAUGGUUCUAUUUUGUUGGUUUCUAGGAUCACCGUAAUGAUUAAUAGGGGUAGUUGGGGGCAUUAGUAUUCAAUUGUCAGAGGUGAAAUUCUUGGAUUUAUUGAAGACUAACUUCUGCGAAAGCAUUUGCCAAGGAUGUUUUCAUUAAUCAAGAACGAAAGUUAGGGGAUCGAAGACGAUCAGAUACCGUCGUGGUCUUAACCAUAAACUAUGCCGACUAGGGAUCGGACGAUGUUAAUUUUUUAAUGACUCAUUCGGCGCCUUACG
rnacentral:rRNA from 1 species